rnacentral:rRNA from 1 species
GAAGGUAUGCGUAUCUGCAGUCGAGCGGACAGAUGGGAGCUUGCUCCCUGAUGUUAGCGGCGGACGGGUGAGUAACACGUGGGUAACCUGCCUGUAAGACUGGGAUAACUCCGGGAAACCGGGGCUAAUACCGGAUGCUUGUUUGAACCGCAUGGUUCAAACAUAAAAGGUGGCUUCGGCUACCACUUACAGAUGGACCCGCGGCGCAUUAGCUAGUUGGUGAGGUAACGGCUCACCAAGGCAACGAUGCGUAGCCGACCUGAGAGGGUGAUCGGCCACACUGGGACUGAGACACGGCCCAGACUCCUACGGGAGGCAGCAGUAGGGAAUCUUCCGCAAUGGACGAAAGUCUGACGGAGCAACGCCGCGUGAGUGAUGAAGGUUUUCGGAUCGUAAAGCUCUGUUGUUAGGGAAGAACAAGUACCGUUCGAAUAGGGCGGUACCUUGACGGUACCUAACCAGAAAGCCACGGCUAACUACGUGCCAGCAGCCGCGGUAAUACGUAGGUGGCAAGCGUUGUCCGGAAUUAUUGGGCGUAAAGGGCUCGCAGGCGGUUUCUUAAGUCUGAUGUGAAAGCCCCCGGCUCAACCGGGGAGGGUCAUUGGAAACUGGGGAACUUGAGUGCAGAAGAGGAGAGUGGAAUUCCACGUGUAGCGGUGAAAUGCGUAGAGAUGUGGAGGAACACCAGUGGCGAAGGCGACUCUCUGGUCUGUAACUGACGCUGAGGAGCGAAAGCGUGGGGAGCGAACAGGAUUAGAUACCCUGGUAGUCCACGCCGUAAACGAUGAGUGCUAAGUGUUAGGGGGUUUCCGCCCCUUAGUGCUGCAGCUAACGCAUUAAGCACUCCGCCUGGGGAGUACGGUCGCAAGACUGAAACUCAAAGGAAUUGACGGGGGCCCGCACAAGCGGUGGAGCAUGUGGUUUAAUUCGAAGCAACGCGAAGAACCUUACCAGGUCUUGACAUCCUCUGACAAUCCUAGAGAUAGGACGUCCCCUUCGGGGGCAGAGUGACAGGUGGUGCAUGGUUGUCGUCAGCUCGUGUCGUGAGAUGUUGGGUUAAGUCCCGCAACGAGCGCAACCCUUGAUCUUAGUUGCCAGCAUUCAGUUGGGCACUCUAAGGUGACUGCCGGUGACAAACCGGAGGAAGGUG